UAACACAUGCAAGUCGAGGGGCAGCAUGGUCUUUGCUUGCUAAGGCCGAUGGCGACCGGCGCACGGGUGAGUAACACGUAUCCAACCUGCCGUCUACUCUUGGACAGCCUUCUGAAAGGAAGAUUAAUACAAGAUGGCAUCAUGAGUCCACAUGUUCACAUGAUUAAAGGUAUUCCGGUAGACGAUGGGGAUGCGUUCCAUUAGAUAGUAGGCGGGGUAACGGCCCACCUAGUCUUCGAUGGAUAGGGGUUCUGAGAGGAAGGUCCCCCACAUUGGAACUGAGACACGGUCCAAACUCCUACGGGAGGCAGCAGUGAGGAAUAUUGGUCAAUGGGCGAGAGCCUGAACCAGCCAAGUAGCGUGAAGGAUGACUGCCCUAUGGGUUGUAAACUUCUUUUAUAAAGGAAUAAAGUCGGGUAUGCAUACCCGUUUGCAUGUACUUUAUGAAUAAGGAUCGGCUAACUCCGUGCCAGCAGCCGCGGUAAUACGGAGGAUCCGAGCGUUAUCCGGAUUUAUUGGGUUUAAAGGGAGCGUAGAUGGAUGUUUAAGUCAGUUGUGAAAGUUUGCGGCUCAACCGUAAAAUUGCAGUUGAUACUGGAUAUCUUGAGUGCAGUUGAGGCAGGCGGAAUUCGUGGUGUAGCGGUGAAAUGCUUAGAUAUCACGAAGAACUCCGAUUGCGAAGGCAGCCUGCUAAGCUGCAACUGACAUUGAGGCUCGAAAGUGUGGGUAUCAAACAGGAUUAGAUACCCUGGUAGUCCACACGGUAAACGAUGAAUACUCGCUGUUUGCGAUAUACUGCAAGCGGCCAAGCGAAAGCGUUAAGUAUUCCACCUGGGGAGUACGCCGGCAACGGUGAAACUCAAAGGAAUUGACGGGGGCCCGCACAAGCGGAGGAACAUGUGGUUUAAUUCGAUGAUACGCGAGGAACCUUACCCGGGCUUAAAUUGCAGAUGAAUUACGGUGAAAGCCGUAAGCCGCAAGGCAUCUGUGAAGGUGCUGCAUGGUUGUCGUCAGCUCGUGCCGUGAGGUGUCGGCUUAAGUGCCAUAACGAGCGCAACCCUUGUUGUCAGUUACUAACAGGUUCUGCUGAGGACUCUGACAAGACUGCCAUCGUAAGAUGUGAGGAAGGUGGGGAUGACGUCAAAUCAGCACGGCCCUUACGUCCGGGGCUACACACGUGUUACAAUGGGGGGUACAGAGGGCCGCUACCACGCGAGUGGAUGCCAAUCCCAAAAACCUCUCUCAGUUCGGACUGGAGUCUGCAACCCGACUCCACGAAGCUGGAUUCGCUAGUAAUCGCGCAUCAGCCACGGCGCGGUGAAUACGUUCCCGGGCCUUGUACACACCGCCCGUCAAGCCAUGGGAGCCGGGGGUACCUGAAGUGCGUAACCGAGAGGAGCGCCCUAGGGUAAAACUGGUGACUGGGGCUAAGU
rnacentral:rRNA from 1 species